UACGUAGGGCGCAAGCGUUGUCCGGAAUUAUUGGGCGUAAAGAGCUCGUAGGCGGCUUGUCGCGUCGACUGUGAAAUCCCGCGGCUCAACUGCGGGUCUGCAGUCGAUACGGGCAGGCUAGAGUUCGGUAGGGGGAGACUGGAAUUCCUGGUGUAGCGGUGAAAUGCGCAGAUAUCGGGAGGAACACCAGUGGCGAAGGCGGCACUCUGGGCCAGUACUGACACUGAGGAGCGAAAGCGUGGGGAGCGAACGAGG
rnacentral:rRNA from 1 species